rnacentral:rRNA from 1 species
CAGUCGCCGCGGUAAUACGAAGGGUGCAAGCGUUAAUCGGAAUUACUGGGCGUAAAGCGUGCGUAGGCGGUUUGUUAAGUCUGUUGUGAAAUCCCCGGGCUCAACAUGGGAAUGGCAAUGGAUACUGGCAAGCUAGAGUGUGUCAGAGGAUGGUGGAAUUCCCGGUGUAGCGGUGAAAUGCGUAGAGAUCGGGAGGAACAUCAGUGGCGAAGGCGGCCAUCUGGGACAACACUGACGCUGAGGCACGAAAGCGUGGGGAGCAAACAGGAUUAGAUACCCGAGUAGUCCCUGUCUCUUAUAC